rfam:Hordeum vulgare subsp. vulgare, WGS project CAJW01000000 data, contig: morex_contig_276071
GAUGUACUCCCUCCAUCCGGAAAUACUUAGUUGAAGAAAUGGAUGUAUCUUUGACGUAUUUUAGUUCUAGAUACAUCCAUUUUUAUCCAUUUCUUCGACAAGUAUUUCCGGAUGGAGGGAGUAUCAC